rnacentral:lncRNA from 1 species
UGGUCCAGCGAGAUGCUGAAGAAGUCAGGCUCACAGAGCCCCAUUGUGGUGUGUCAGAACCCACAGAAAAUGUUCCUCCUGUGCAUUAUUUAUGACUUUCCUGCAUUUAUAUAGUAUCCAGCUUCCUGAAAGUAAUUUGUUUUGGAUUGUGUAGUGCCGGGCAGCACAUCAAAGGAACAAAGCCUUCUGGGAAGGCUAUGAAGAUCUUCAAGCCCACUUGGACAGAAUUCUGUAGACCUCCUGAUUGAACCAAUGGCAACCAUGGCAACCAUGGGACCAGUUUUAAAGUGGUGCCAAGGUGCUAGGUUAACAAAGAGAAUCUCUCAAGACUGGACAUUUAGGCUGCACUUGCUGGUUAUAAUUUAAAUAUUUCUCAAUAAAAGCAUUUCCCAUUUUAAGA